rnacentral:rRNA from 1 species
GACGUAGGGCGCGAGCGUUGUCCGGAUUUAUUGGGCGUAAAGAGCUCGUAGGCGGCUUGUCGCGUCGUUCGUGAAAACCUGCAGCUCAACUGCAGGCUUGCGGUCGAUACGGGCAGGCUAGAGUUCGGUAGGGGAGACUGGAAUUCCUGGUGUAGCGGUGAAAUGCGCAGAUAUCAGGAAGAACACCCGUGGCGAAAGCGGCUCUCUGGAACGGUACUGACGCUGAGACGCGAAAGCGUGGGGAGCGAACAGG